UGGGGAAUAUUGCACAAUGGGGGAAACCCUGAUGCAGCGACGCCGCGUGAACGAAGAAGGUAUUCGUAUCGUAAAGUUCUGUCCUAUGGGAAGAUAAUGACAGUACCAUAGAAGAAAGCUCCGGCUAAAUACGUGCCAGCAGCCGCGGUAAUACGUAUGGAGCGAGCGUUGACCGGAAUUAUUGGGCGUAAAGGGUACGCAGGCGGUUUAAUAAGUCGAAUGUUAAAGAUCGGGGCUCAACCCCGUAAAGCAUUGGAAACUGAUAAACUUGAGUAGUGGAGAGGAAAGUGGAAUUCCUAGUGUAGUGGUGAAAUACGUAGAUAUUAGGAGGAAUACAAGUAGCGAAGGCGACUUUCUGGACACAAACUGACGCUGAGGUACGAAAGCGUGGGGAGCAAACAGG
rnacentral:rRNA from 1 species